rnacentral:rRNA from 1 species
GACGAACGCUGGCGGCGUGCUUAACACAUGCAAGUCGAACGGAAAGGCCCUGCCUUUGUGGGGUGCUCGAGUGGCGAACGGGUGAGUAACACGUGAGUAACCUGUCCCUGACUUUGGGAUAACCUCAGGAAACUGGGGCUAAUACCGGAUAGGAGCUCCUGCUGCAUGGUGGGGGUUGGAAAGUUUCGGCGGUUGGGGAUGGACUCGCGGCUUAUCAGCUUGUUGGUGGGGUAGUGGCUUACCAAGGCCUUGCCGGGUAGCCGGCCUGGGAGGGUGACCGGCCCCGUUGGGACUGGGAUACGGCCCAGACUCCUACGGGAGGCAGCAGUGGGGAAUAUUGCACAAUGGGCGGAAGCCUGAUGCAGCAACGCCGCGUGCGGGAUGACGGCCUUCGGUUUGUAAACCGCUUUCGCCUGUGACGAAGCGUGAGUGACGGUAAUGGGUAAAGAAGCACCGGCUAACUACGUG